rnacentral:rRNA from 1 species
UACGUAGGGGGCAAGCGUUGUCCGGAAUUAUUGGGCGUAAAGAGCGUGUAGGCGGUCCGGUAAGUCAGCUGUGAAAGUCAAGGGCUCAACCCUUGAAAGCCGUUUGAUACUGUCAGGCUAGAGUCCGGAAGAGGCGAGUGGAAUUCCCGGUGUAGCGGUGAAAUGCGCAGAUAUCGGGAGGAACACCAAUGGCGAAGGCAGCUCGCUGGGACGAUACUGACGCUAAGACGCGAAAGCGUGGGGAGCAAACAGG